rnacentral:rRNA from 1 species
AGAUGUCGGGUUAAGUCCCUUAACGAGCGAAACCCUUGUCCUUAGUUACCAGCGGGUCAUGCCGGGAACUCUAAGGAGACUGCCGGUGUUAAACCGGAGGAAGGUGGGGAUGACGUCAAGUCCUCAUGGCCUUUAUGACUAGGGCUGCACACGUCCUACAAUGGCGCGCACAAAGCGACGCAAACUCGCAAGAGCCAGCAAAUCGCACAAAUCGCGCCUCAGUUCGGAUUGCAGGCUGCAACCCGCCUGCAUGAAGCUGGAAUCGCUAGUAAUCGCGGGUCAGCAUACCGCGGUGAAUGUGUUCCUGAGCCUUGUACACACCGCCCGUCAAGCCACGAAAGUGGGGGGCGCCCAACAGCGUUGUCGUAACCGCAAGGAACAAGACGCCUAAGGCGAACUCCGUGAUUGGGACUAAGUCGUAACAAGGUAA